rnacentral:misc_RNA from 1 species
AACCUUAUGGACCUGCGGGCGUAUACCUGCGGAAGGAUCAUUAACAAAUCUACACAAACCAUGUGUCACCGUGUCGUUCCUGGAUGGGGAGCCAGGAGCAGCAAAAAAACACUGUCAGAGCAUGCAAAUGUAACAUUAACAACUUUUAGCAACGGAUCU